CCUAGGGGGGCAGCAGUGGGGAAUAUUGGACAAUGGGCGAAAGCCUGAUCCAGCCAUGCCGCGUGUGUGAAGAAGGCCUUCGGGUUGUAAAGCACUUUCAGUGGGGAAGAAAGCCUUGGGGCUAAUACCCUCGAGGAAGGACAUCACCCACAGAAGAAGCACCGGCUAACUCCGUGCCAGCAGCCGCGGUAAUACGGAGGGUGCGAGCGUUAAUCGGAAUUACUGGGCGUAAAGCGCGCGUAGGCGGUCUGAUAAGCCGGUUGUGAAAGCCCCGGGCUCAACCUGGGAACGGCAUCCGGAACUGUCAGGCUAGAGUGCAGGAGAGGAAGGUAGAAUUCCCGGUGUAGCGGUGAAAUGCGUAGAGAUCGGGAGGAAUACCAGUGGCGAAGGCGGCCUUCUGGACUGACACUGACGCUGAGGUGCGAAAGCGUGGGUAGCAAACAGGAUUAGAUACCCUUGUAGUC
rnacentral:rRNA from 1 species